rnacentral:lncRNA from 1 species
UCAGGGUCAGGAGGGGAGGGAUCUCAGUGUAGUAAGCGGGAGCAGGCAGUGCCUGUGUGCCAUGCCUUUAUCGGGCGUCUUAGGAGGCAAUAAGUGCUUUUGUUCUGUCUUAUACUGGGCUGCACCUGGAAGCCCGCAAUCCCCAGGAGGAGACUGCUGUACAGACUAUUUCUUUGCCUGGAUGGGUAAUGGAGCAGUGAGGUAAUGGUGGCCAUGCUAGGUGUAUGUUGCUAGUGUUCGGUUAACAGCUGGCCUUAAAGGUUGCCUACCCAGGGGCCAGGAGGGUGUUCCCAUUACCGGGGUGAGUGCUGCAGCUGCAUGCCCACCCCUGCACUGUAUUUUUCCUCAGUCCAGGUGCUCAUCCUUUCUCACCCUGCAGGGUGAGCAUCCCACAUACAGUGGUGUAACACCGACCCCGUGAACAGUGGUAAGCAUACCACAGCCGUGCUGCACAUCCGCCUUUUUACCGUCGCGCCCUAUGGUCACGAUGGUAGCCGCGCCGCAAAUCCGCCUUUUUACCGUCGCGCCCUAUGGUCGCGAUGGUAGCUGCGCCGCAAAUCCGCCUUUUUACCGUCGCGCCCUAUGGUCGCGAUGGUAGCCGCGCCGCAAAUCCGCCUUUUUACCAUCGCGCCCUAUGGUCGCAAUGGUAGCCGCGCUGCAAAUCCGCCUUUUUACCGUCGCGCCCUAUGGUCGCGAUGGUAGCCGCGCCGCAAAUCCGCUUUUUUACCGUCGCGCCCUAUGGUCACGAUGGUAGCCGCGCUGCAAAUCCGCCUUUUUACCGUCGCGCCCUAUGGUCACGAUGGUAGCCGUGCCACAAAUCCGCCUUUUUACCGUCACGACCUAUGGAGUCUGUUUGUUUUCAUGCAGUUCAGUCAAGCCUAACAUAAUCGUCGGAGCAUGCCAAACUAUGAUUACAAAUGGUAAGACUUAGCCCCCCCCCCUCCCGGAGUGUCUAUGCCCUGGGGUGGAAGUUGUCUAACGAACAACGGUGAGGCCAGGAACACCAAUUGGUCAGCCAGCAGUGCUCGUCGUCCUCAUGCCUCCACUUCAAUCGGCAUGUUCAUCACCCUCCCACCGGAUCCAAUUACGAAUUUAGUAAAGCCCGCCUGUCCAAAACGCUGUGGACGUGUCAGAUACGCCCCCGUCUGUGCCCGCACCCCCAAUCGGAGACACUGGCAACAAUGCUGAUCCCGUCACCAAUACACCCCGAUCCUGAGAUCCACUGCCGUAGCCCGGGACCAGCUGUGCGUGGUGCACCCCUUCCAGGGUUUCGCCCACCAAACAAGAGUGUCCAUCUCAUCACCCCGCCAUGUAGCUGGUAGUCCAUGCCUCCGCCGGUCAUGAAAGGGUCACAUGGAUAUUGGCCUAUGCCGUACACACCAGCGGCCGUGAAUAUGCUGCUGGCCCCACCAUCCGCCUUGUAUUCAUCUCCGUAUUCCACUGCCUGUAGAUGACGUAGCUGUCCCAGGCCAUGCAUGUCACUGCUCGUGAAACCCCCAUGGCCCCCUUAGUAGCUACCCGGCUGGUCCCCGCUGUAUCCCCUCCCGUACAAGCCCCAUCCAGGGCCCGUGCUGCUGCACUGCACCGCCAGGCCGGUCGUCACUGCUGCCACUGUCGCAGCGGUGAUGGGCACCGCCACCAUCGCAACACAACUAAUAGGAUGCCAUAGCAUAUGUCGUGGGGCCACCGUCAGGGGAAGGGUAGACAUUGAAGAUGGAGACCGAGGUGAAGCGGGUUGGUUAUGAGGGCGGGUUUCAGGGUAUCACGGGGGCCCCCCGCAACCUAGGCGCCACAUUCGGUAAAAUGUCAUCAUGGCCGCAGUCGGGGGAUGGCAAAACGAGGGGGGAAAGGGGGAAAAUGCGGCGGGGCAGAAUGGUUUGGAGGGCGUGUUUCAGGGCAUGACGGGGGCCCCCUGCAACCUAGGCGACGCAUUCAUUUGCGUCUCCAUGGCCGCAGUCCGGGGAUGGCAAAACGAGGAGGGAAAGGGGGAAAACACGGUGGGAUGGAUAGUUAGGAGGGCGUGUUUCAGGGCAUGACGGGGGCCCCCUGCCAGCUAGGCGACGCAUUCGUCCGAAUGUCACCAUGGCCGCAGUCGGGGGAUGGCAAAACGAGGGGGGAAAGGGGGAAAACGCAGCAGGGCGGAAUGGUUGGGAGGGCGUGUUUCAGGGCAUGACAGGGGCCCCCUGCAACCUAGGCGACGCAUUCAUUCUAACAUCAUCAUGGCCGCAGUCGGGGGAUGGCAAAACAAAAGGAGGAAGGGGGAAAACGUUGCGUGGCGGGGCGGGAAUUGGAACAGUACAGAGGUACCACCCAUGUUCUUGUGGGUCUGGGGUCAAUUCCCAGGUGUCCCGUACUGACCCAUGAUACAUACACACAUUUGUACGUGAGC